GGGGAAAAUAACACCUUAGGUCUUUGUACUUUUUAUUUUGUUUUGAUUUCAUCCUUUGUUUGCUUUUCUUUGUUUUUUUUAAUUUAUAAUUUGAAUUUCAUUUAGGUUUCAAUUUAAUCAUUUGCCUACUUAUUUUUUUAUUGUUAUUUUUUUAUUUAUUUUACUAUUUUCGGCACUUUUAUUUCAUUCACAUUUAUCCCUUGUAAUUAUGCAUCUUUUAUUUUUAUUUUGAGUUAUCACUUUUAUUUUAUUAUUAAAUAUAGUAUUAUGAUUAUUAUUGUUACUAUUAUUACCAUUGAUCAAUGUUAUU
rnacentral:lncRNA from 1 species